UUUAAAAGGUAGAUUUUCCUUCUAUGAUUACGUGGUUGAUGGUUGAUCGUAGAGGAAAAUCCACGUUUUCAG
rfam:Pteropus alecto contig163915, whole genome shotgun sequence.